AUUGAACGCUGGCGGCAUGCCUUACACAUGCAAGUCGAACGGCAGCACGGGAGCAAUCCUGGUGGCGAGUGGCGAACGGGGUGAGUAAUAUAUCGGAACGUGCCCAGUCGUGGGGGAUAACGUAGCGAAAGCGUACGCUAAUACCGCAUACGAUCUAUGGAUGAAAGCGGGGGGAUCGCAAGACCUCGCGCGAUUGGAGCGGCCGAUAUCAGAUUAGGUAGUUGGUGAGGUAAAGGCUCGCCAAGCCGACGAUCUGUAGCUGGUCUGAGAGGACGACCAGCCACACUGGGACUGAGACACGGCCCAGACUCCUACGGGAGGCAGCAGUGGGGAAUUUUGGGACAAUGGGCGCAA
rnacentral:rRNA from 1 species